rfam:Paraglaciecola sp. S66 Contig20, whole genome shotgun sequence.
UUUGUUCCCUCGACUCCAACUUCCCCGAUUUCAGUUGUGCCUUGUCAAAUGUCCAAACAGGACGUUUGGACAAGGCGUGGUGAGUACAGGGAGGUAAUCUCCACGUCGGUUUGAUCAACAAGGUGCAAGUGAAAUUGGAAUAGGAAGUUGGUCGGAGAGCGGCU